GAUGAACGCUGGCGGCGGGCCUAUUACAUGCAAGUCGAGCGAAGCGGGGACGGGUGAGUAACACGUGGAUAACCUCCUAUAAGACUGGGAUAACUUCGGGAAACCGUAGCUAAACCGUAUAAGUAUAGAUGGAUCCGCGCUGCAUUAGCUAGUUGGUAAGGUAACGGCUUACCAAGGCAACGAUGCAUAGCCGACCUGAGAGGGUGUCCGGGCAAACUGGAACUGAGAAACGGACCAGAGUACUACGGGCGGGAGCAGUAGAGAAUCAUCAGGAAUGGGGGAAAGCCAGCAGGAGGGAAGGCGCGUGAGUGAGGCAGGAAAUAGGAUCGUAAAACUCUGAUAUUAGGGAAACGGAAGCUAGUUAGAAAGCCACGGCUAACUACGUGCCAGCAGCCGCGGUAAUAC
rnacentral:rRNA from 1 species